AACGAACGCUGGCGGCAUGCUUAACACAUGCAAGUCGAACGGCAGCACAGUACGUAGCAAUACGUAUGGGUGGCGAGUGGCGGACGGGUGAGUAACGCGUAGGAAUCUGCCUUGAAGCGGGGGAUAACCCGAGGAAACUCGGGCUAAUACCGCAUAAUAUCGAGAGAUUAAAGCUAGGUUUUACCUGGCACUUCAAGAGGAGCCUGCGUACGAUUAGCUAGUUGGUAGGGUAAAGGCCUACCAAGGCGAUGAUCGUUAACUGGUCUGAGAGGAUGAUCAGUCACACUGGAACUGAGACACGGUCCAGACUCCUACGGGAGGCAGCAGUGGGGAAUAUUGGACAAUGGGGGCAACCCUGAUCCAGCAAUGCCGCGUGUGUGAAGAAGGCCUUCGGGUUGUAAAGCACUUUUGGCAGGGAGGAAGGUGUAGAGUUUAAGAGGCACUACAUUUGACUGUACCUGCAGAAUAAGCACCGGCUAACUCUGUGCCAGCAGCCGCCGUAAUAC
rnacentral:rRNA from 1 species